rnacentral:rRNA from 1 species
UACGGGGGGAGCAAGCGUUGUUCGGAUUUACUGGGCGUAAAGGGCGCGUAGGCGGCCACUGCAAGUCGGUUGUGAAAUCUCCGGGCUUAACCCGGAAAGGUCAAUCGAUACUGCAGGGCUAGAGUGCAGAAGGGGCAACUGGAAUUCUCGGUGUAGCGGUGAAAUGCGUAGAUAUCGUAAGGAACGCCAGUGGCGAAAGCGAAUCUCUGGGCAGCAACUGACGCUGAGGCACGAAGGCCAGGGGAGCAAACGGG